rnacentral:rRNA from 1 species
UUGUCCUACGGGAGGCAGCAGUGAGGAAUAUUGGUCAAUGGGCUUACGCCUGAACCAGCCAAGUCGCGUGAGGGAAGACUGCCCUAUGGGUUGUAAACCUCUUUUGUCAGGGAGCAACGCCGGCUACGUGUAGCCGGACUGAGAGUACCUGAAGAAAAAGCAUCGGCUAACUCCGUGCCAGCAGCCGCGGUAAUACGGAGGAUGCGAGCGUUAUCCGGAUUUAUUGGGUUUAAAGGGUGCGUAGGCGGUUUGUCAAGUCAGCGGUAAAAAUUCCGGGCUCAACCCGGUCCCGCCGUUGAAACUGG